rnacentral:rRNA from 1 species
GCAAGUCGAGGGGUAACAUGAGAGCUUGCUCUUGAUGACGACCGGCGCACGGGUGCGUAACGCGUAUACAAUCUACCUUUUGCUGAGGAAUAGCCCAGAGAAAUUUGGAUUAAUGCCUCAUAGUAUGUCGACCUCGCAUGAGGAUGAUAUUAAAGGUUACGGCAAAAGAUGAGUAUGCGUUCUAUUAGCUAGAUGGUGUGGUAACGGCACACCAUGGCAACGAUAGAUAGGGGCCCUGAGAGGGGGAUC